AACCAUGGUGUGGGAAAAUGGCUUGCAAUUCUUUGUAUCUUUCCCAUACUUGGUAUAAGGUCUCACUAUCCUUUUGGGCAAACGAGAAAAUUUGCUUCUUUAGGAC
rnacentral:snoRNA from 1 species